AUUGAACGCUGGCGGCAGGCCUAACACAUGCAAGUCGAGCGGAUGAAGGGUGCUUGCUCCUGGAUUCAGCGGCGGACGGGUGAGUAAUGCCUAGGAAUCUGCCUGGUAGUGGGGGAUAACGUCCGGACACGGGCGCUAAUACCGCAUACGUCCUGAGGGAGAAAGUGGGGGAUCUUCGGACCUUACGCUAUCAGAUGAGCCUAGGUCGGAUUAGCUAGUUGGUGGGGUAAAGGCCUACCAAGGCGACGAUCCGUAACUGGUCUGAGAGGAUGAUCAGUCACACUGGAACUGAGACACGGUCCAGACUCCUACGGGAGGCAGCAGUGGGGAAUAUUGGACAAUGGGCGAAAGCCUGAUCCAGCCAUGCCGCGUGUGUGAAGAAGGUCUUCGGAUUGUAAAGCACUUUAAGUUGGGAGGAAGAGCAGUAAGUUAAUACCUUGCUGUUUUGACGUUACCAACAGAAUAAGCACCGGCUAACUUCGUG
rnacentral:rRNA from 1 species